ensembl:lncRNA
CACAAUUGGUGAUGUGACCACAAAUAUAUAAAGAGUUAUCAAUUUUACUCACCCUGUGAUGGAGAGAUGCCCAGGGGAUGAUUAAUGGCCACAUUUAGGUUCAAAAAACAGAUUUUUGCUGUUCAAAGGGAUUUUUCAAUGUUCAAGGAUUCAUGCGUCUUGUGUCUGAACACUUACAGACAAAUCUGAAAGAAAUAUCACGAAGUUCUAAUAGGAGGCUAUACUGUUAGCAUGACAUUAGCUCUAAACUGCUAGUUAUAUAAGUUUGUUAAAAUGGUAGGCGUGGGUAAUUUGAGCCGAAAGUCCUGGGGUAAGUUGAGCCAGUGGCUCACCCCUCCUUACAAUUACAUAGAAUUAUUUCACUGUAAUUCUACAUUAUAUUUCAUUAAUUUUAGAACAAACAUGUUUGAUUUAGUUCUUUUUGAACUUGAUUUUGUUCUGAAAAUUACCAUUCAUCCAUUACUAUCAGCUGAGAGUUUACUCUUCAAAUAAACGCCUCUGAAUAUCUGAACAGCGACAGACUGCAGUAUAAAACCACAGAUAUACCUGUCGAUGUUUGUCAGGUGAGGCGGUCAGAGUCCGCCGGUGAUCGGUGAGCUCGUGGAAUGCGGAAGCAGGACUCAUUACAGCUUGACAGGUGUCGUAGCAGGUUAUUUGGAAGAGACAAACAUGUGGCCAAAUCAAGGACCUCCAGCCGCUGGGCCGCCCAAUCCUGCCUUUCCUUCUCCUCCAAACCCAGCGUACCCAGCCAUGCCCGGACCCAACCCCGUCUAUCCACCCAUGAACCAUCCCACGACCAUCCCGUACCCCGCGCCCAACCAGCCGUUCCCCCCGGCGGGGCCCUUCCCCGGGGCCGCUCACCCCUGCCCCGUCCCUCAGUACGGGGGCCACCCCGCGGGAGUCCACGCACCUGGACACAAGAAACACAAGAAGAUGAAGAAAGGCCAUAAAGCUCAUAAAGCUCACAAGGAGCACAAACACAUGAAACAUGGCAAGCAUUCCUCAUCCAGCAGCAGCAGCAGCAGCAGCAGUGAUUCUGACUGAAGACAAGCACUCACACACAACCUGCUCUCUGUCUGCGUCUGAUCUCACGAGUGUCAGGGCUGAUAAAUCAAGCCCAGCGGCUAUACAAUCGAUAAUCAAAUGCAGUAAUGUAUUGCACUUAAGUAUAUUUAUGUGUUUCUGUGAGUCUGAAUGCUUUUCUUAAUUACAUUUACAAGAAAAAAGUAAUAAUCAGCUUUCCGUGUGAAGAGAUCACAUUUAAUUAUAACUUUUGCUGAACUUGACUCAGUUGUGAACAACAUACUGAAAUGUCAGACAUCUGCCUCCAUUUGAGAAUGGACAACUGUAAUUAAACAAGCUCACUUUGUUUAUGCAUUAAGGAGAAAAGUCCCAGAUAGCACACACACAUACGUCUGCAAGACGUCUGGAAAACAUCUGCUGUGCACAAACAUCUGAUAAACCUCUUUAAAAAGUCAGUUUUACAUACAUUCUAAAUCAUAAACAUCUUAAAUAACAUCUUUAACAUCUGACAGGAGAAGUCCCAGAAACGUAUUGCAGAUGAGCAGAUGUAAACACACACCUGGAAUAGACGUCUCUGAGAUAUGUGUGCUAUCAGGCCUGCUUCUUCCUCUCUUGUGUUCAUUAAAAAGUUAAACAAUUAAAAAGUAUAUGCUUUGGCCUGGAUACAUCUAGUUCUGUAACUGAGGAAGCUUCAGACACAACACCUGUAGUGUAAUGUUUCUUUGCACUACCUGAAGCAGUAAAUAUGUAUUGAUCAAAGUUAAUAAUCAGGAAUUGAUGAAGCUGAAAUAGAUAUUGUAGUUAAUAUAGACAUGAGUGUUCUGCAAGUGAUGUAUUUCAGAUUUAAUCAGCUGUAAACGCACUUUAAAUGGCUUUAACUGUGUGUGCUGAGAAAUCAGUUGCAUGUUUUUGUUGGCUAAUAAAGAGGCACAGGCAGUUUUUCAAUGAAUAAAACAUUAAGAGAAAGCUUGAAACAUCUUCCAGUUAUAUUCAUUAUUGUGUGCUAAAUUAAUGUUUUAAUAACAAUGCAAUUACUUUGUCAACAAAUCUUGGGAUUUGCACAGCUCAGCAUUAAAAUAUCUCCUGAAUGCCCU